AAUCAAACCCGGAGAUAUCUCGUUCUCCCCGAAAUAGCUUUAGGGCUAGCCUCGGUUGCUUACCGUCGCAGGUAGAGCACCGGAUGGGCGCGGGGGCCUCACCGCCUACCAACCCCAACCGAACUCCGAAUGGCGACGGUCUUGAGACCGGGAGUCAGAACGUGUGGGCUAAGCCGCGCGUUCGAAAGGGAAACAGCCCAGACCGCCCGCUAAGGCCCCCAAGUUCGUGUUAAGUGGCAAAGGAUGUGCGUUUGCCUAGACAACCAGGAUGUUGGCUUAGAAGCAGCCAUUCAUUUAAAGAGUGCGUAACAGCUCACUGGUCGAGUGGACAUGCGCCGACAAUAUACGGGGCUAAGCACGACGCCGAAGCGGCGGAACGAUCCUUCAAGGACCGUUGGUAGGGGAGCUUUCCUUGGGCAGCGAAGCUGAAGGGCGACCUUUGGUGGAGCCUUAAGGAAGUGAGAAUGCUGGCAUGAGUAACGAGAGCGGCGAGAGUAACGCCGCCGCCGUAAACCCAAGGUUUCCUGGGCGAGGCUAAUCCUCCCAGGGUCAGUCGGGAGCUAAGGCGAGGCCGGAAGGCGUAGCCGAUGCACAGCAGGCAGACAUUCCUGCACCUCCCGCAGACGUUCGAGCGAUGGGGUGACGGAGAAGGGUAGCUCGACGGGGUUCUGGACGUCCCCGCGAUGUCGCGUAGCCUGAGGGGUAGUAAAAUGCGCCCCUCGCAUAAGGGUGAGGCGACGGACGAAGCGCUUUAGCGAAGCGAGUGAGCCCAUGCUUCCUAGAAAAGCCUCUAGCAAGUCUGCGGGUGCCCGUACCGCAAACCGACACAGGUGGGUGGGUAGAACAUACCAAGGCGAUCGGGUCAACCAUGGUUAAGGAACUCGGCAAAAUGGCCCCGUAACUUCGGGAGAAGGGGCGGUGGCGCGGGUGAUAGAGCGUGCCUCUUGAGCCUGAGCCACUCACAGUAAAGAGGCCCAAACGACUGUUUACCAAAAACACAGGACUCUGCUGAAGUCGUAAGACGACGUAUAGGGUCUGACGCCUGCCCGGUGCCGGAAGGUCACGUGGAGUUGUCAGUCGCAAGACGAAGCAGCGAAACCAAGCCCCGGUAAACGGCGGCCGUAACUAUAACGGUCCUAAGGUAGCGAAAUUCCUUGUCGGGUAAGUUCCGACCUGCACGAAAGGCGUAACGAUUUGGGCGCUGUCUCAACCAUGGACCCGGUGAAAUUGCACUAGUCGUGAAGAUGCGACUUACCCGCGGAAGGACGGAAAGACCCCGUGAACCUUUACUGCAGCUAGACAUUGGCUGCCGGUCCGACGUGUAGAGGAUAGGUGGGAGACUGAGAACCACUGGCGCCAGCCGGUGGGGAGUCGCCCUUGGAAUACCACCCUCGUCGCUCUGGCAUCCUAACCUGCGACCGUUAUCCGGCGCAGGGACCGUGUCUGGUGGGUAGUUUGACUGGGGCGGUCGCCUCCUAAAGAGUAACGGAGGCGCGCAAAGGUCUGCUCGGGACGGUCGGCAACCGUCCUUUUGAGUGCAAGAGCAUAAGCAGGCUUCACUGCGAGACCAACAAGUCGAGCAGGUGGGAAACCAGGCUCUAGUGAUCCGGCGGCCCAGAGUGGAAUGGCCGUCGCUCAACGGAUAAAAGGUACUCCGGGGAUAACAGGCUGAUCUUCCCCAAGAGUCCACAUCGACGGGAAGGUUUGGCACCUCGAUGUCGGCUCAUCGCAUCCUGGGGCUGGAGCAGGUCCCAAGGGUUGGGCUGUUCGCCCAUUAAAGCGGUACGCGAGCUGGGUUCAGAACGUCGUGAGACAGUUCGGUCCCUAUCCUCCGUGGGCGUAAGAGAGUUGAGGGAGGCUGCCCCUAGUACGAGAGGACCGGGGUGGACGGACCUCCGGUGAACGGGUUGUCAACCAAUGGCACUGCCCGGUAGCUGAGUCCGGUUGGGAUAACCGCUGAAAGCAUCUAAGCGGGAAGCCCGUCCCAAGAUGAGCUCUCUUUUUGGUAAGGCUCCUUGU
rnacentral:rRNA from 1 species